rnacentral:rRNA from 1 species
UACGUAGGGGGCGAGCGUUGUCCGGAGUUACUGGGCGUAAAGGGCAUGCAGGCGGUCGGACGCGUUUCGGGUGACAGCGGGUGGCUUAACUACCCGAGUGGUCGAAAGACGGUUUGACUUGAGGACGCGAGAGGGACGCGGAAUUCCGGGUGGAGUGGUGAAAUGCGUAGAGAUCCGGAGGAACACCGAAGGCGAAGGCAGUGUCCUGGCGCGUAACUGACGCUGAGGUGCGAAAGCCAGGGGAGCGAACAGG